rnacentral:tRNA from 1 species
GCAGGGGUAGCGAAGCGGUCAAACGCGGCAGACUCAAGAUCUGCUCUCUUUGGAGUUCAAGGGUUCAAAUCCCUUCCCCUGCA